AUAAAUGUUGUGAUAUCAAAUAUACCUCUUGAGUUUCCAUCCCGUUGCAUUACUUUAUGAUGAUACCAUCUCUUCUAUUUUUCCGUAUAGAAUUAUCUUCCGUGAAAUAUGUUUGCGAGCUUUCAAGAACUCAGACUCCAUGUUGCGCAUAGUACGAUGGACACCUGGAUUUUGCAUCUGCAUAGGAAAAAGGAUUUCCACUCUGCUGGGCUAGCCCAGGCAAAGAAGUGCCACUUUGAUUUGGAACCUGCCCUGAAAUCUGCCCCGACAUAUGCUGGAAAUUCAUCUCUCUUGUAUCCUUCUAAAUAAGGUAUACUUCAUAAAGUGGACUAUCAGCGCCCCAUCAAAUGGGUGAGAAUCCCAUACUUCAUUAGCUGCUUAAUCAAUUUUGGG
rnacentral:lncRNA from 1 species